CAGGGAGACAACAAAAUGUUAAAUAUUAAUUUUGUCACCUUAGGUCGAUCGGUAUCUCACAUUCUUAAAUUUAUUAAGGAUUUUAUUUCCUAAGUUUUUUCUAGGUCACACCCAUUACUUUUCCUGGGCCAUUAGCUCAGGUGGUUAGAGCGCACCCCUGAUAAGGGUGAGGUCCCUGGUUCAAGUCCAGGAUGGCCCAUAUCUCUAUGUUGGGGGUAUAGCUCAGUUGGUAGAGCGCCUGCUUUGCAAGCAGGAUGUCAGCGGUUCGAGUCCGCUUACCUCCACUGAUUACCACCUCUUACAUAAUUUUAGAAGGAAAUGUUUUGAGUUUCGAUCAAAUUCUGAACGAAUCUAGCUUCCUAAUUAUCUUUAUUAAGAAGCUGGACUCAUUGAAUUAAUUUCAUUGUUUUCAGAGAACCUUGACAACUGCAUAGAUUAUUUUUAAAGACAAUAAGCAUCUUUAAUGAUGCAGAUUUAUUAUUUGUGCUAAUGCAUUAAUAACAAUUCUAUUAAGCUGAUGCUUCAAUUUUUGAAGUUAUU
rnacentral:tRNA from 1 species